GACGAACGCUGGCGGCGUGCCUAAUACAUGCAAGUAGAACGCUGAAGGAGGAGCUUGCUUCUCUGGAUGAGUUGCGAACGGGUGAGUAACGCGUAGGUAACCUGCCUGGUAGCGGGGGAUAACUAUUGGAAACGAUAGCUAAUACCGCAUAAGAGUAGGUGUUGCAUGACAUUUGCUUAAAAGGUGCAAUUGCAUCACUACCAGAUGGACCUGCGUUGUAUUAGCUAGUUGGUGGGGUAACGGCUCACCAAGGCGACGAUACAUAGCCGACCUGAGAGGGUGAUCGGCCACACUGGGACUGAGACACGGCCCAGACUCCUACGGGAGGCAGCAGUAGGGAAUCUUCGGCAAUGGACGGAAGUCUGACCGAGCAACGCCGCGUGAGUGAAGAAGGUUUUCGGAUCGUAAAGCUCUGUUGUAAGAGAAGAACGAGUGUGAGAGUGGAAAGUUCACACUGUGACGGUAUCUUACCAGAAAGGGACGGCUAACUACGUGCCAGCAGCCGCGGUAGUACGUAGGUGGCAAGCGUUAUCCGGAUUUAUUGGGCGUAAAGAGAGUGCAGGCGGUUUUCUAAGUCUGAUGUGAAAGCCUUCGGCUUAACCGGAGAAGUGCAUCGGAAACUGGAUAACUUGAGUGCAGAAGAGGGUAGUGGAACUCCAUGUGUAGCGGUGGAAUGCGUAGAUAUAUGGAAGAACACCAGUGGCGAAGGCGGCUACCUGGUCUGCAACUGACGCUGAGACUCGAAAGCAUGGGUAGCGAACAGG
rnacentral:rRNA from 1 species